rnacentral:rRNA from 1 species
UGGGGAAUCUUGGACAAUGGGGGCAACCCUGAUCCAGCCAUGCCGCGUGAGUGAUGAAGGCCUUAGGGUUGUAAAACUCUUUCAGGGGGUGAAGAUAAUGACGGUAACCCCAGAAGAAGCACCGGCUAACUACGUGCCAGCAGCCGCGGUAAUACGUAGGGUGCAAGCGUUGUCCGGAAUUAUUGGGCGUAAAGAGCUCGUAGGCGGUCCGUUGCGUCUGCCGUGAAAACCCGGAGCUCAACUCCGGGCCUGCGGUGGAUACGGGCGGACUAGAGUCCGGUAGGGGAGACUGGAAUUCCUGGUGUAGCGGUGGAAUGCGCAGAUAUCAGGAGGAACACCGGUGGCGAAGGCGGGUCUCUGGGCCGGAACUGACGCUGAGGAGCGAAAGCGUGGGGAGCGAACAGGAUUAGAUACCCUGGUAGUCCACGCCGUAAACGGU